rnacentral:rRNA from 1 species
UGCCAGCAGCCGCGGUAAUACGAAGGGUGCUAGCGUUGUUCGGAAUUACUGGGCUUAAAGGGUGCGUAGGCGGUGAUGUAGGUGGGGUGUGAAAUCCCUCGGCUCAACCGAGGAACUGCGCUCCAAACCACAUGACUAGAGGGAGACAGAGGUAAGCGGAACUGAUGGUGGAGCGGUGAAAUGCGUUGAUAUCAUCAGGAACACCAGUGGCGAAAGCGGCUUACUGGGUCUCUUCUGACGCUGAGGCACGAAAGCUAGGGUAGCGAACGGGAUUAGAUA